rnacentral:sRNA from 1 species
CAUUAUUGAAUAAAUUUAAUGGGUUGUAGCUGGCUCUUUCAGAGUAUGUGCACGCCUGUUAUUUUAUCUUCUCCACCUGUGCACUACUUGUAGACUUUGGAUAUCUUUCUUUUUCGAGGAAACUCGAAUAAGAUAAUGGGAUUUGCUGCGCCUUGAAAGAGGCAAGCUCAUCUUAAAUUUCCAGUCUAUGUUUUACAUACACCAUUAAUGUAACAGAAUGUUCAAAUGGCUUUCAAGCCUAUAAACAUAAAUACAACUUUCAGCAACGGAUCUCUUGGCUCUCGCAUCGAUGAAGAACGCAGCGAAAUGCGAUAAGUAAUGUGAAUUGCAGAAUUCAGUGAAUCAUCGAAUCUUUGAACGCACCUUGCGCUCCUUGGUAUUCCGAGGAGCAUGCCUGUUUGAGUGUCAUUAAAUUCUCAAUCUUUUUGGUUUAUUGGAAUCAGUCAGAUUGGAUAGUUGGAGGUGUUUGCAGGCUUCAUUGUCUGCUCCUCUUAAAUUCAUUAGCGGAACCUAGCAUUGUCCCAUUUCUGAUGUGAUAAUUAUCUACAUUAUUAAUGCGGUACAUAACUAAUAUAGUGUUCAGCUUCUAAUCGUCCAUUCAUUUGGACAGCUCUUGACAAUUGUCCU